UGGCUAUUGAUGAGCCUAUAUAAGUGCCUGUAACAGCUAAUGCAGCUCAGUGCCAGUCAGACCGCUGUCUUAGCAACACGCACCACUACGCCGCGUCUCCUAAGCGCCCAGCAGCACCAAGCGAGGAUCUUCAGCAACGUUCUUCGUGAUAAUCAAGGACAGAAGUCUAUGAGGCGCAACUUAGUGUCUUUGAUUGUGUAACAAGACUAUUUUCCUCAUUUAAAGAUGCGUGUGAUACUCCUGCUGGUGGCCAUGAUGGUGCUGUUUUCAGCGGUGGUGGGAGCGGCGGCAAAUUCUCGCUUCUUCAAACCCCAGAGACUGUUCUUCCCCAAACCGAGAUUAGUCCCACGUGGUGCUGGAGCGAGAAGCAGGAACAGUGGUUGCGUCGACAGUGGCUUUGGGAUCAUCUCGUGUUGAGAGGCGGAGGGCAAACUGUUAUUUUUGCGAUAUUUAACUCUCCGAGGCACCAUGGUUCAACAUGAGGCUGCUUUACCAUCACCACGUCCCGUCUGUAGGUGUAGCGCUUAAGAUGUCCUGCCUCUGGUACAUUUGGCGUUACCUUUAAAAGGGCGCUACAAUGCUGUAUCAUUUCGGCCCUCGUUCUAUGCCUCUAUUGCUUUGCAAACCAUAUCUUUCAUUGGGUGCUGGCUCCAUUGGCAUCAAAGUGGCACAUUGCUGCUAGGGAGCUAGAAAAAGCAGACUAGGUAGAGGGCCAAUCUUUCGUACACGAAUAUGCCUUUGCGUGCCAGUUCAUAAAAUAAUCUCUUGGUCCAAUAAUAAUAACUAAGAACCAGUGUUGGUUUUCAUGAGGCACUCUUAAGAAACGUCAAUAAGCAAGAACUGCUCAAAUUUUUACUGUAUUUUCCUUUUUAUAUCUGUCCGUGCAUGGGAACUGAAACCAAAAUCCUGUCAUUAUUGAUUGACUCCCUUGCUAAUAUUUGGGUUACAGCUUUUUUCAAGCCACUAAUUCGUAGUUCAUACCAACAAGCAUCAUAUCUGAAUUAUGAUACAAUAUGCGCCACCCCCUCAACAGGGGUCAUCACCUAAAUCUCAAUGUUAUUAAAUGGUAUGCACAAGUUUCUGGAACUGGAAAAUUAUCUUGUGAUCACGGACAGAGCAGUCACAAUUUUAAGAAUGUUUACAAGACAAAGGCCAAUUUUUACCGAGAUUUUAUUGUUUGAACGCAAUUCUUCUUCGGCGAUUCUUGAAUGCCUAGAAAUCUAUGUAUGAAUGCUUCCGACGCACAAAAUUCAUAAUUCAUCUAGCAAACCAUCAUUUGGGAUUUUUUUCUAGUAGCUACGCCCCUAGAUAUUCUGAUCUAGAAAGCUGAAUUACAUUUCAUUUGCAGUGGCCUUUGGGCUGUAUUCAUUAUACAUCAUUCUGUGUGUCUGAAUUAAGUUAUCCAAUGUGAAAACACGUUUUCAUUCUUUCGCAUUGAAUUUAUGUAAAAGAAAAAUUAAUGGUUUGUAUAAUAAAUAAACUGCUAUGUUUCACUA